UCUAACAUAACUGCGCCUCUCUCUUUCUUCUUCCUCUUCUCCUCGAUUAUGAGCGAAGCUUUGGCAGAUUAUCCCCGAAAGUAGUUUCUUUAUUUCAUUUAUUUGUUUUUCAAUAGUAUUAUUCAGUCAUACAAAAGUUGAAGAGAGAAUUGUGGAGUAUUCUUCCUCUUAAGAGUUUAUAUGACUGAAUUCUACCAAACCCUAACCCUGAAUUACUCAAAUCACACACACAAUUGUACGUGUUUCAUUAUCUUCCCAACCCAUAGUUGUUCAGAUUUAGCCGUAUAACGAACCCAAUUUUCGUUUUACCUUCUUAAACCCUACUUUCGUCUUGUUUUUUCCCCUAUAGAAGUAUAAGGUAAUGAUCUUCCAACCUCCAAUUUUCCAUUUAUUCUUUAUUAUUAUCAAUAUCUUCACUAAACAUGUUAGCUCUAGAUGAUGUUUGCAGAUGUUUAUUAGUAAUUGAUGUUGUCCUGACCCUGACAAGCAGACAAGGUAAAGACCCUUCUCUUUUCAUUCAAUAACUCCAUCCAGAUCUGUAAUUAGAUCUAUGUUUUGAAGAUCCUUUCAUGUUGAAGAUUUAUGUUUAAGCUAGAAUGACUGGUUAUGGAAGUGGAUGGUCACCUCAUGCAAAUUUUCGUUGUGGUGUGGGAUGUUUCCAGUACUCUGGGAUGGUGUUGGUGGGUAGGUAUUGAGGGAGGAGGAUCAUGUUAGAAGGAGUGUUUUUUUGGUGCCUAUGGAGGAUUAAGAGGUGGUGGUGUGGAUACUGCAGGCGAUGGUGGACUAUCAAAGGCUGCUGUUGGAGGUAGAGGCAUAAGUGGUUGAGGUGAUGGUGGUGGGCAAUUCCCUCACAAAGAAUUUGUUAAAAGGCAUUUUGACCCAAACUAAUACGGAUGAUUCAUAAGAGAAGUGAGGAGCUUGUGCAUGCAGCUGGAUAGAGGUGGUCGCAAGCAGUAUUGUUAAUAAUGGUAUCUCAGGAUCUAGAGGACAUCAGUUUUCUGCUGCCAUAACUACUAGUGCAUACGCAGAUGAAUUUGACACUUCUGUUGCAAAACUGUACAUUUUAUCUUAAUCCAUCUCCACGAGUACGAAAAUGCGUUGUCGGUUUCGGGACCAUUAUAUGAGAAUACUGAUCCCCUUGAUGAGAUAACUGCUCUUCAUAUCUGCCUUCUGUUACUGGAUGUUCCAUUAGCCUCCAAUAAUGCAACAAAAGCUGCUGAAGUUUCUAUCCUUUAUGCCUUUCUAAUUGGAUUCUCGGGGUAUCAUCUAUUCUAUAUGAAGCGUUUAUGAAUAGUGAUGCAGAAAGCAUAUCCGACUUGGUUGUCGAAUUGGGUAGUCUGUGGUUCUCAGUUUGGUCUUUUGCUUUUUGAGGAGCUUCAGCUUGAAAUCAUAUAUUCUGUUUGAAGCGUUUAUGAAUAGUGAUGCAGAAAACACAUCAGACUUGGUUGCCAGAUUGGGUAGUCCGCGGUUUUCAGUUUGGUCUUUGCUUUUUGAGGAGCUUCAAGAAGAAAGCAGUUGCAUCUGCAUAUGUUGAUAGAGCAAGGCCUCCAAAUGAUGGUGAUUAUGACUGACGUUAUGCGAUAGAGUUGGAGUACUUGUUUCGAGAGGUGAAAUGAUUUGUGGCCAAAGCUUAUGCAGCUCCUGUAAGAGAGCGACCAAAUUAGAGUCGCAAGGUGACUGGAUCUAAUUAGUUUUAAUGUUCUAUAUGUAGCUUUAGGUUGCUAGUAUACUUUGGAUUUGUAAUCGGAGAUUAUAUUUCUUAUUUGUUAUUUUUGGUAAUUAGAAUUUUGUUUCAUAAUCA